rnacentral:lncRNA from 1 species
CAUGCAUCGCUUGUUAUAAUAACUCUUGUCAUUAUGCUACAUUAUAUACGUGGGCCUGAUAUAAUCACACAAGCUCCUUAAGAACAUAGGGUGUUGGACAGCUGGUAACAGGAAAGGAAGUCAGAGAUCUGAAGCAGAUUCUAUGUACCAUUGCUGGCUUGUAGAUAAGGAGGGACAUGUGGAAAAGACCUGAAAGUGGCCUCUGGGAGCUGAGCGGCAACAAGGCAAUGAGCACCUGCGUCCUACAAUCAUUAAGAACUGCAUUCUGCCAAGAAACUGGGUCCUGGGGACACAGAAUACAUAAAUUUUGGUUAACAAAAAGAAAAGGAAAAAAAAUGCAAAGACAAAGGAGAAAAGCGUAUAAUGAGGAUCCUGGGAAGACAAGGUCAUGAACAAGCUAGACACGCCUUGUGUGCUCAGGGGAGGAGUAACAUCACCAGUACAGAGAAUGAAAACAUUGUAAUGGAAUAUCUGAGGACCUAAUUCAAUUUUACCAGCUUACUUUCCUUUGGACCAAGAUAAUUAUAAAAUUCCUGUGCAUUCUCCACAACAAUUUUGAUCCUUUUUUGUCUAACUCAGUGAUCUCCAAAUUGGGAUCAUACACUCAGAUAAGCAAGAAGAGAUGCUGAACUUUCACUGUUUUCCUGAACAAUGGAGAAAUUAUCUCCCUUCGUGAAAUGUUACUUUCUGAGUACCCAUCUCUAAUGGCACAACCUGCAAUUCCUGAAGAUGUUCAAAUGAAUUCAGCGAGAGCUGUGGAUGAGAGUUCCCUUGGAGUCUGAAUGCUGUUAGUCCCAAGAGCCAGUGGGUAGUUGUUUGAUACCAAUGCUGAGCACUGAAUUCUUUGUGACUUAGGGACCCAUGUGUGUUUUAGUGAAUUUGCUUUUGUUUGCUUCUGAUAGACAAGACAUAAAAGACCCUUUAAAAUGUGGAGCGCAGUACAGGAAUCCCUUUUCCCUGAGUCUUUACUGCUUUUUACUGAAGGGGGGUUAAGAUCCCAUAGAGUCUACUUUUCUCAUGAUUUUUUUCAUGUCCCUUUCUAGGUCCUCAUCUCUUCAACAUGUUUGUAAUUGAGCCAUUGAGAAUUGUUUCACUUGUUAUCUACUAGACACAGAAAGAUAAGAGAGAAAAAAAGAGAAAAAAAAUCACGUAAUGAAACUCUAUGUGCUCUAAUUGAUUUGCUUCAGAGUUUGCUAUGUCUGGCACAUGUUCUUCAGAUAAUGUGUGUGUAUCUGUAUGUGUGUGUGUGCAAUUACUGUCAUUUUCAGCUUUUAUUUAAAAUGAAAUAAUGGAAAAUACCCUAUUUUUGGUUUUAUUUAUUUAUUUAUUUAUUUUUGAGAUGGAGUCUCACUAUGUUGCCCAGGCUGGAGUGCAGUGGCACGGUCUCAACUCACUGCAACCUCCACCUUCUGGGUUCAAGUGAUCUCCUGCCUCAGCCUCCCGAGUAGCUGGGACUACAGGCAUGUGCCACGACACUGGGCUAAUUUCUUGUAUUUUUAGUAGAGACAGGGUUUCAUCAUGUUGGCCAGGCUGGUCUCAAACUCCUGACCUCAGGUGAUCUGCCUGCUUUGGCCUCCCAAAGUGCCAGGAUUACAGGUGUGAGCCACCAUGCCUGGCCUAUUUUGGUAUGUUUUUGAGAGAAGAAAGAGAAAAGCACACAGUCUUUCUGCUUCCUGCUUUAACAUUACUGAUAAUUUUUAAACCUAGAAAUAUUUAUGGCUAAAUUUAUAAAAUUCAGUACACUCAGCAUAAAAACACAGAUUCAAGUACCAUAACUGGAUUAUAAACUUUACAUAAUAAUGAAAAAUAAUAAUGCAUUUAGAUUUUUCACAGAAAAUUUAUUUAGGGUUCCUAUGUUUAUUUUUUGUAUGUUAGAUUAUGUUCUAAAGCAUUUAUGUAAUUAUUAAAA